GAUGAACGCUGGCGGCGUGCCUAACACAUGCAAGUCGAACGAAGCUUGACGAAUGAUUUUUUCGGAAUGAAUUCUGAUAUGACUUAGUGGCGGACGGGUGAGUAACACGUAAGCAACCUGCCUAUUAGAGGGGAAUAGCAGUGAGAAAUCAUUGCUAAUACCGCAUAUGCUAACAGUAUCGCAUGAUACAGUUAGGAAAGGAGCAAUCCGCUAAUAGAUGGGCUUGCGUCUGAUUAGCUAGUUGGUGGGGUAACGGCCCACCAAGGCAACGAUCGGUAGCCGGACUGAGAGGUUGAACGGCCACAUUGGGACUGAGACACGGCCCAG
rnacentral:rRNA from 1 species